UACGUAGGGACCAAGCGUUGUCCGGAAUCAUUGGGCGUAAAGCGCGCGUAGGCGGCCCGGUAAGUCCGUUGUAAAGUCAAAGGCUCAACCUUUGAAUGCCGAUGGAUACUGCCGGGCUAGAGUCCGGAAGAGGCGAGUAGAAUUCCUGGUGGUAGCGGUGGAAUGCGCAGAUAUCAGGAGGAAUACCCCAUAGCGAAGGCAGCUCGCUGGGAG
rnacentral:rRNA from 1 species